AGGAUGUCACCUUGUCCUGGGCAAGUUAUUGGGCAAGACCAGGCAGCUCCAGUGCUAAUUUAAUGCUGGGAAGAGAGUCGGGGAACCUGCAGCUCUGGCCAGCUUUCCCCCAAGGAAUCCCAGCCCUACCAGCCUCCUCCCUGUCUCUGGCACAUACCAGUUCACAGCCAGAUCAGUAGAGCAGAGGUGUACAAUGGGGAGGCUCUGGCCUGAGAAGAGGAAGCCCCUGAGAGCAUUCAAAGGGUCAAGAGAGGACUAAGGCAAGACCUCUUGGAUUAGGAAAAAGGUCAUAGCAACCCAAAGGAGGCGGAGCAACUGGAGUUCAAGACAUUCACCUUAAAAGGUACACUCAGUUGCCCCUGCGUUUGGACUUUGCUGACCUGGAAAAAAGAGAACUGCAUAGUAAUCCAUUUGUGUUCCAUCUCGUCAAAAGUAUAGCACCUGUGGGGGCUGAGCUGGUGUUUCGUGGGAUCAUGAUGAUUCUCUGACUUGAAGUGCAAGGACUGGGAAAAAAUUCCAUGUCUGUAAGAAAAUGAAUCCUAAAGAUUCCAGUGUUGUACCUUAUCCAUUGAUAUAUUCAUUCAUUCAUCCAUUCACCCACUCAUUCAUCAAUGUAGUAUUUCCCAAAUGUCACUCAUUCCUGUACUACUUUCAUCAUUUUUUAUAAUCUGUAAGAUAUUUUUGCUUUGUGUUUUUCUUUAUUGGACUAUUUUACUUAAAUAAAUUUAGCCUCAGCCUAAG
rnacentral:lncRNA from 1 species